UACGGAGGGGGCUAGCGUUGUUCGGAAUUACUGGGCGUAAAGCGCACGUAGGCGGCUUUGCAAGUUAGAGGUGAAAGCCCGGGGCUCAACUCCGGAAUUGCCUUUAAAACUGCAUCGCUAGAAUUGUGGAGAGGUAAGUGGAAUUCCGAGUGUAGAGGUGAAAUUCGUAGAUAUUCGCAAGAACACCAGUGGCGAAGGCGGCUUACUGGUCCGGUUCUGACGCUGAGGCGCGAAAGCGUGGGGAGCAAACAGG
rnacentral:rRNA from 1 species